UACGUAGGUGGCAAGCGUUGUCCGGAUUUACUGGGCGUAAAGGGCGUGCAGGCGGUUUGUUAAGUGCAGGGUGAAAGCUCCCGGCUCAACUGGGAGAGGUCCUUGCAUACUGGCGAACUCGAGGGAGGCAGAGGAAAGUGGAAUUCCCGGUGUAGUGGUGGAAUGCGUAGAUAUCGGGAGGAACACCAGUGGCGAAGGCGGUUGCCUGGAGCUUUUGCUGACGCUGAGGCGCGAAGGUCAGGGGAGCAAACGGG
rnacentral:rRNA from 1 species